GUUGACCUCGGAUCAGGUAGGACUACCCGCUGAACUUAAGCAUAUCAAUAAGCGGAGGAAAAGAAACCAACAGGGAU
rnacentral:rRNA from 1 species